ensembl:miRNA
GGACGGUGAGCUAAGGUGGGGUCAUGGGCCAAGGCCAGUGGCUGAGCUGAGUGAUGACUGCUGACCUACACCGUCU